CAGUGAGGAUCUCGCCUGUGUUGGUGGCUGCCCUCUGUUUGUCUUUUGCACUUUGGGAUCAGCUAACGAACCAUCACGACAGCCCCGCUAUAAGCGGAUCGUGACAUGUUUGGCAGAAGGUAAGGCUGCUUUUGCUUGUGCUCUUCAGCAUGUUGCAUAUUAGUAAGAUGUAACAGAAUUUAUAUGAGCUUCAUAGCACACAGUAAGUGACAAUUUCUCCAUGUGGCAUUGCACUCCAACCUGGCUGAUGAGUUUACAUAAAUGCUAAAGUCUCUCUCAUUGUAUGUCAGGGCCUGCAGUAGAGAUCUUUGUGAAAGAUAGCAGACAGGGUAACCUUCUGUUUUAAGCUGAAUGUUUCAUAUUCUUUCUCUCAGUUCUCCCUUAUAAAAGUACAGCCCUAAAGCCCUUGCAGCCCAGGCACUCCAGAUUAAAGACUAAAAGCCUGUAGCCCUUGGAUGUUGCAACAAGUGGAUCAAACAUUCAAAACCAAUCUCUGGACUUGGCAAUGCUUGAGUUCAUUCUAGUUUGUCUUCUACUUUUCUAUUCUAUUCCUCUUAGGAAGUUCUUAAACUGGUCUUAUAAAUGCACUCUCUGAGUACAUUUCUGAAUUAUGUUCUGGUUUUGUCCUGUUCCCUCAAAAUAACUGAUCCAUGCUGUAGCUUUUUGUUUGGGGAUUUGGUUUAUCUUAGAAAGGGUUGUUUGUACUUUGAGGUUCUAGACCUACAUCAGAAAUCACAGAGAUUUUUGACACUACAGUUUUGGUCUGAACUCCAAGAAUUAUGAGUCUCUGCUCUUCCCAGGAUUACAGGAAGGAGUGUUUAGGAUCAUAUCCUUUGCUUCUGAGCUUGUGCCCAGAGUAUUGGUAUGCUUUUAAAAUUGCCUUCUUACAGUGCAUGCAAGUUAUUCUCAUUCCUCUUAUUUUUUCUAAGAGAAGGAAUAAAUAUCUUACAUCUGUCACUAAAACUCUCUGGGGAGGUUUUUGUCCACCUUAUGGACAACUUCACACACUAUCAAAUACUUCUUAAAUGGACAGAGACCCCUUCCUUUUGAAAAUGUUAUAAAACCAACUUGAGCCUGGAUGCAGGUGCAAGGUUUCACAGAGCCCUUCGUCUUGAGCAGCAGAGAGCUGCUUCCACUUUACUGACCAAAUUAUUUCAAGUAUUAACACCUCCAAUAUCACUGCCCUCUCUCCUGGUGGCCUGCCCCUUAUACACAGACUGAAAGUGGGUCAAGGACACAUUCCAAGAAUUACAAUUAUAAUCAGUGUUUGAGUCAAAAAUCCAGAGCACUACUUAAUCUAGAUGUCAUUUUACACAGUAAAUUACAGUCAAUGUAUAAACAAAUAAAUAAAAUGCCCAAGUGUGUAACUGAAUUUUCUGCUUUAGCACAGAUAGGCCAUGAGCUGAGUGAAUUUCUAAUUAAGAGAGAAUUGCUAUGGUAACCAGAGGUGGUCACAGAUAAUUGGGUGUGAAACCCCAAGGGGCUUCAUGACAGAGGUGUCUGCAUAUAUUAUCCAAACACUUUUUGUUUCUUAAAUAGAACUGCAUUGUCAGGUCAAACAAUAUUUUUUGUAUUUUAGAUGCCUUCUUUUUGAGCAACUGAAGUCCAGCUCGUAAGGGGUCUCUGUUCUUUAAAUGCCAUGAGAACAGUCCAUGUGCAAAGACAAACUGGAGUGAGGAUUCUCAGCCUUAACUUACUCUCAGUGGUGGGUUAGGAAGAAGGUGUUUGAUACGUGUUUGCUGUUUGCUCUGUUUGCUAUGGGACAGAGAAGGGAGAUGGCUGCCUGUGUUGACAAAGCAGAGCAAUCAGGGACAAAGGGACACUGCUCCUCACAAUGGGACUGUGCACACUGUCCAGCCCCUUGACUGUCUUGAUACUGCAUUGUCUUAGUUAAAACAAUUAUUAUUUAAAGUGGGUAUUUUGUUAUCACAAUUCAUGGGAGAGCAAAGGGAUAAUCACAGAAACCGAAUUAUUCUGUGCAACCCAGACCAGUCUGAUCAGAGCAGAGGGGAUGCUUAAAACUCACAUCAGCACAGUAACACCUGCAUCAGCAACCCAUUGUGAUUAAACAAAUUUUUAAAUUUGUAACAAUUAUUUACCAACUUAAGCAUUUUAUUUUAGAUAGCUUUGAGUGUUAUCUUAUCCACUUAGAUAUUUAUUAUCUAUGUAAUAAACUAUAUAUUAUCUGUGUAAUGAACCUUGAUGAAGAUUAAAAGAAAAUCUCAUUAUUUCCAAUAGUUGUUCUGGCACAAGAAUUCUAAGAUUUGUAUUUAAAUCCAUUCUGGAACAUGUGGAUAUGAAUGAAAGGUCAGCUCUUUGCUUUGCAAAUCCCCAUUUCUCUGUACCAGCUCUGCUUAAAGGGCACAGAGCUACUUCAGUGCAUCUAGUAUUCCUCUGGUCUGAAGGAACCUUGUGAAUUCUCAGGACACGAUAAAUUCAGAAAUAGAUAGGAUAAAUAGAUCAACUCCUGCAGACUUCCACUACUGCUGCAAUUCAGAGAAGUUUUGAAACUCACUUCUUUUGAGACCUUCAGCAUCUUUUAAUUUCCCGUAUUUUGAUGGUGGUUCUCAAGGUGCAUUGGUGCAUUGCAUUGGACAGUUUCUCUGUAAUCAAGGAGUCAAUUAACAAGCCUUAACACAUUUUCAUGUCCCUGUUAGCAGUAAAAACAAGAUCAUACCUGUUCUGCAUCUUUAAAGGAGGUAGUGGGUUAUUAGUCUCUCUGCAUAUCUGAAAAGGCUGCUCAGCCACUCUGAAGGUGCAAUCUGUAAACACAGUAGGGCAUUAAAGCCAUCAGGAAUUAUCUAACAGAAAAAUUAUCAAAGGUAGUCAGAGCUCUUAGUCUGCACUGAUAGUGCCAGUCUAGCUGUGUUCUGUUGUUUCUGCAUUUCCCAUUAAUUACACCUUAGCAGGAGUUCUGCAUGCAGCAGUGUGGUCAAAGACAUUUUCAAUCCCUAAGGAGAAGCAGACUAUCAUAGUGUACCCUCUGUCACACAGGGAGGAGAACCCUGCCCAUGCUGAUUAAGUACAGCAGUUGACAGCAGAUGUUAUUUGUUAAUUACUGACAUAUCCAAAGGGUCCUAUGGCUUGGCAGACUCGGUAACAGAUCCAUUACCCACUUUGUUUUAUCUCAUUAUGGAACAUAUGGUGGCACUUUGAUGUAGUAAAAUUUUAAACAUUUUUUUAAUGCAUUCCUACAUUGAAUUCCUCACUCACUUUUUGCGUUGCUUCUUGAUGGGUCAGAACAUGUGCUUUCUUUUAUUUUCCUUUUUUCUAGUAUCCAAGUACCUUGUGUUUUCAACUGCUCAGAGGUACUGAUGUAUCUCAUCUGCCAGUUCCAACUUUUUUUUUCACCUCUGAAAAAUAUCAACCAGAUGGUUUCCAAAAAUGACAAUUAUAUCUAAUGCAUUGUUCGAAAUUAAAGUAACACUGCAAAAAUGCCUCUCAUGCUUUUAACUGCUUGAAGCCAUACAUAUCACUUUGAGUGCACAAAGAACUGUGUGUUCCAUCACUGUAUUAGACAAAAGCCCACUGAGAAUUUGAGCUGCUUCAAGAUAAAGCUGAGUGAGUAGCUAAAUUACAUGCUACUAAGUAUUAAUGUGUAUCUAAAGCUCAGAUCUGAAAAGGAGAUCCUUCAAACUGCUCAGCAGCUCAGAUAUAAAGGACAUUAUUUUUUUAUUUAGUCUUACAGUUAAAAAAUACACUUGCUUGUGUACUCUAGUGGAAACAAGGUAUAUUUCCAAUGACAGACAUCUGAGGUGUUACCUGCUUUGAUUUGUAGCUGGAAUAUUACUUAACUAUAUUAAAUUAAGAGAAAGCAAAAUACUUACAAAAAUUAGGCAUUUAAAAUUAGUAAUAACCUGAUUAAAUCUUUUCUUGCUAUAUUCACUUAACCUGUAAAUAUUUUUCAGAGAUUGAAGCUAUAUAAUAGCAAUAUGAAAUCUAUUUUAUAAUAGCAAUAUGAAAUCUAUUUUAUAAUAGCAAUAAUUUCCAAAUAAAGGCAUUGGUUUUGACAACUCUGGCAGAUGUUAGUUAGGAUUAUUAAAACCAGGUUUUUGUCAUGCAAAGUUCCACAGAAUUACAGAAUAUUCUGAGUUGGAAGGAAUCCACAAGGAUCAUGGAGUCCAGCUCUGAAGUGAAUGGCCCAUACAGGGAUCAAGCCCAAGAAAAGUUGAUGGCAUAGAACUCACACUGAGUAAAACAAACCCUUGAUGUACCUCAGCUGAUUCUGAACAACAUGCAGCACAGGAAUAAAAUUAAUCAUUAAAAUAUUCUUAAUAGGAAAAUGGACUACUUAAAAUGUAAAAUCAGAGCUGAAACCCUAUGCAAGGGUGAAUUUGUCAGACAUGAAUUCUAGAAAACUGGGGAAGGGCAGAUCUAAGUGAUGCAAUGGAGAAUCCAAAAAUAUCACAAACUCAGCAUAAGCAGGUGUAAAAAGUGAAUCUCCAAGCGUACACAUCUGCUUCCCACAGAAAGACCAAGCCUAAGGUGUCACAGGCUUAGUAUUUUUAACAAAGUGCAAAUGCAGAGGCUCACCCAGAGCACAACAGUUUGCUCAGCACAAAGCUCUGAAGGCAGGACAUCUGUUAAUGAGGGGCCCACAUGACUGAACCAAUUACAAGCUGCAUAUGAGUAAGGCUAGAAGGUGACAAUAAAGACAUUUAGCAAUGGCAGUGUAUGGCAUAAGGUAUAUGCACUUGCUGAGCAUCUUUAAAAUACUGGGAAAUUAAGAAAUGUUGGAAAUAGCAUGGAUAUUGUUGAAUUGGAAAUAAAGAAAGGUAAGUUAUCAUUUGGUUCUUAGAAAUCUCACAUAAUAAAAGCCUGCUGUCCCAGUGCAGGUCAAAAAAUGCCAAGAAUAAUUCAGAAAAUAGGCAUGACACACACACACAAUCUGCAUGAUAAUUUUCUAGAACAAAAUCAAGCAAGACUUGCAAUAUAUCAAAAUGUCAGCUAUCUAUUUUAAUUUUGGGAAUACAGUAAAUUCACUUACAAUACUUAAAAGGUCAUUCAGAAAGACUGAAGUGCAGUAGCAAAAAUCUUACUCUAACAUUAUCUUAAAAAUAUCUUUGCUCUUUCUUCUGACAGAUCGUUUGUACAAAGUACUUUCCUUAUGUCCUUAAAAUUUUUAGGGAAAUGAAAAAAUAAAUAAAAGAAGUAAAUCCUCCAGUGGUCCUUUCCUGAAAAGAAAAACUUUAAACUCUGUAGGCCCAUGUAGAAGUGCCAAGCUGUAAUAAUUUGCCAAAUGCUGCCUGAAGUUUUGCCUGGAUGCACGGAAAGAUCAGUAGUCCCUUCAAAUGAACUUGUUCUUCCCAGGAUUUUAGAGGUGGCAACUCAGCAGCAGCAUCCCAGCAGCUGCACAAGGCAGUGGAAUCCAGCACAUAAAGGGUUACAGCAUCAACCCUGUGCUUUCCAGCCUUCUCCAGCCCAGGGCUGGGAAUCUGCUUGUCUCUCCCCUAAUGAUCAGAUUUUACCCUUCCCAUGCAGCUCCAAGGCUCAGACGUGCUGGUGGCCAGGAAAUAAAGCUCAGGUAGCCAAAAAAGUCCCCCUGGGGACAGACACUGAGCUCUGCAGAGUUGAAACUCCACCCCUGGUACAGGGAGAUCUCGAGUCCAUCCAGUCCCCACCAGCAGCGAUACUAUUUGUGCUCUAGUACCUCAAGCAGACAGAAAAGGAAAAAAAAAAAAAA
ensembl:lncRNA